CCUACGGGGUGCAGCAGUGGGGAAUAUUGGGCAAUGGAGGCAACUCUGACCCAGCAACGCCGCGUGAAUGAUGAAGGUCUUCUGAUUGUAAAGUUCUUUUCUAAGGGAAGAAGAAAGUGACGGUUCCUCAGCAAUACGCCUCGGCUAACUACGUGCCAGCAGCCGCGGUAAUACGUAGGAGGCAAUUGUUAUCCGGAAUGACUGGGCGUAAAGGGUGCGUAGGUGGUUUGACAAGUUAGUAGCGAAACUCCGGAGCUCAACUUCGGAACUACUACUAACACUGUUGGACUGGAGUGCAGGAGGGGCAAUCGGAAUUCGUGGUGUAGCGGUGGAAUGCGUAGAUAUUAGGAAGAACACCGAUGGCGAAGGCAGAUUGCUAGACUGUAACUGACACUGAGGCACGAAAGCGUGGGGAGCAAACAGGAUUAGAUACCCGGGUAGUC
rnacentral:rRNA from 1 species